UACGGAGGAUGCAAGCGUUAUCCUGAAUUAUUGGGCGUAAAGCGUCCGCAGGUGGCACUUCAAGUCUGUCGUCAAAGACCGGGGCUUAACCCUGGAAAGGCGAUGGAAACUGAAAGGCUAGAGAGAGGUAGGGGUAGAGGGAAUUCCCAGUGUAGCGGUGAAAUGCGUAGAGAUUGGGAAGAACAUCGGUGGCGAAAGCGCUCUACUGGACCUCAUCUGACACUCAGGGACGAAAGCUAGGGGAGCGAAUGGG
rnacentral:rRNA from 1 species